rnacentral:rRNA from 1 species
AGUGAACGCUGGCGGUAGGCCUAACACAUGCAAGUCGAACGGCAGCACAGUAAGAGCUUGCUCUUACGGGUGGCGAGUGGCGGACGGGUGAGGAAUACAUCGGAAUCUACUUUUUCGUGGGGGAUAACGUAGGGAAACUUACGCUAAUACCGCAUACGACCUACGGGUGAAAGCAGGGGAUCUUCGGACCUUGCGCGAUUGAAUGAGCCGAUGUCGGAUUAGCUAGUUGGCGGGGUAAAGGCCCACCAAGGCGACGAUCCGUCGCUGGUCUGAGAGGAUGAACAGCCACACUGGAACUGAGACACGGUCCAGACUCCUACGGGAGGCAGCAGUGGGGAAUAUUGGACAAUGGGCGCAAGCCUGAUGCAGCCAUACCGCGUGGGUGAAGAAGGCCUUCGGGUUGUAAAGUCCUUUUGGUGGGGAAGAAAAGCAGCAGGUUAAUACCUCGCUGUUCUGACGGUACCCAAAGAAUAAGCACCGGCUAACUUCGUG